AUUGAACGCUGGCGGCAGGCCUAACACAUGCAAGUCGAACGGUAACAGGAAGAAGCUUGCUUCUUUGCUGACGAGUGGCGGACGGGUGAGUAAUGUCUGGGAAACUGCCUGAUGGAGGGGGAUAACUACUGGAAACGGUAGCUAAUACCGCAUAACGUCGCAAGACCAAAGAGGGGGACCUUCGGGCCUCUUGCCAUCGGAUGUGCCCAGAUGGGAUUAGCUUGUUGGUGGGGUAACGGCUCACCAAGGCGACGAUCCCUAGCUGAUCUGAGAGGAUGACCAGCCACACUGGAACUGAGACACGGUCCAGACUCCUACGGGAGGCAGCAGUGGGGAAUAUUGCACAAUGGGCGCAAGCCUGAUGCAGCCAUGCCGCGUGUAUGAAGAAGGCCUUCGGGUUGUAAAGUACUUUCAGCGGGGAGGAAGGGAGUAAAGUUAAUACCUUUGCUCAUUGACGUUACCCGCAGAAGAAGCACCGGCUAACUCCGUG
rnacentral:rRNA from 1 species